AAGUCGUAACAAGGUUUCCGUAGGUGAACCUGCGGAAGGAUCAUUACCGAAGUACAGGCCCCUUCGGGGGUUACACUUCCACCCUUUGUUUACCACACACGUUGCUUUGGCGGGCCGCCUAGCUACUGGCUUCGGCUGGUAAGUGCCCGCCGGAGAACCCCCAAACCCAAACCAUUUUACCGUGUCGUCUGAAUACAAGUUUAAAUAUUUAAAA
rnacentral:misc_RNA from 1 species